UACGUAGGGGGCUAGCGUUGUCCGGAAUCAUUGGGCGUAAAGCGCGUGUAGGCGGCCCGGUAAGUCCGCUGUGAAAGUCGGGGGCUCAACCCUCGGAUGCCGGUGGAUACUGUCGGGCUCGAGUACGGAAGAGGCGAGUGGAAUUCCUGGUGUAGCGGUGAAAUGCGCAGAUAUCAGGAGGAACACCGAUUGCGAAGGCAGCUCGCUGGGACGUGACCGACGCUGAGACGCGAAAGCGUGGGGAGCAAACAGG
rnacentral:rRNA from 1 species